UUAAGCGACUAAGCGUACACGGUGGAUGCCCUGGCAGUCAGAGGCGAUGAAGGACGUGCUAAUCUGCGAUAAGCGUCGGUGAGGUGAUAUGAACCGUUAUAACCGGCGAUUUCCGAAUGGGGAAACCCAGUGUGUUUCGACACACUAUCAUUAACUGAAUCCAUAGGUUAAUGAGGCGAACCGGGGGAACUGAAACAUCUAAGUACCCCGAGGAAAAGAAAUCAACCGAGAUUCCCCCAGUAGCGGCGAGCGAACGGGGAGGAGCCCAGAGCCUGAAUCAGUGUGUGUGUUAGUGGAAGCGUCUGGAAAGGCGUGCGAUACAGGGUGACAGCCCCGUACACAAAAAUGCACAUAUUGUGAGCUCGAUGAGUAGGGCGGGACACGUGGUAUCCUGUCUGAAUAUGGGGGGACCAUCCUCCAAGGCUAAAUACUCCUGACUGACCGAUAGUGAACCAGUACCGUGAGGGAAAGGCGAAAAGAACCCCGGCGAGGGGAGUGAAAAAGAACCUGAAACCGUGUACGUACAAGCAGUGGGAGCCUCUUAAUGGGGUGACUGCGUACCUUUUGUAUAAUGGGUCAGCGACUUAUAUUCUGUAGCAAGGUUAACCGAAUAGGGGAGCCGAAGGGAAACCGAGUCUUAACUGGGCGUUAAGUUGCAGGGUAUAGACCCGAAACCCGGUGAUCUAGCCAUGGGCAGGUUGAAGGUUGGGUAACACUAACUGGAGGACCGAACCGACUAAUGUUGAAAAAUUAGCGGAUGACUUGUGGCUGGGGGUGAAAGGCCAAUCAAACCGGGAGAUAGCUGGUUCUCCCCGAAAGCUAUUUAGGUAGCGCCUCGUGAAUUCAUCUCCGGGGGUAGAGCACUGUUUCGGCAAGGGGGUCAUCCCGACUUACCAACCCGAUGCAAACUGCGAAUACCGGAGAAUGUUAUCACGGGAGACACACGGCGGGUGCUAACGUCCGUCGUGAAGAGGGAAACAACCCAGACCGCCAGCUAAGGUCCCAAAGUCAUGGUUAAGUGGGAAACGAUGUGGGAAGGCCCAGACAGCCAGGAUGUUGGCUUAGAAGCAGCCAUCAUUUAAAGAAAGCGUAAUAGCUCACUGGUCGAGUCGGCCUGCGCGGAAGAUGUAACGGGGCUAAACCAUGCACCGAAGCUGCGGCAGCGACACUAUGUGUUGUUGGGUAGGGGAGCGUUCUGUAAGCCUGUGAAGGUGGCCUGUGAGGGUUGCUGGAGGUAUCAGAAGUGCGAAUGCUGACAUAAGUAACGAUAAAGCGGGUGAAAAGCCCGCUCGCCGGAAGACCAAGGGUUCCUGUCCAACGUUAAUCGGGGCAGGGUGAGUCGACCCCUAAGGCGAGGCCGAAAGGCGUAGUCGAUGGGAAACAGGUUAAUAUUCCUGUACUUGGUGUUACUGCGAAGGGGGGACGGAGAAGGCUAUGUUGGCCGGGCGACGGUUGUCCCGGUUUAAGCGUGUAGGCUGGUUUUCCAGGCAAAUCCGGAAAACCAAGGCUGAGGCGUGAUGACGAGGCACUACGGUGCUGAAGCGACAAAUGCCCUGCUUCCAGGAAAAGCCUCUAAGCAUCAGGUAACAUCAAAUCGUACCCCAAACCGACACAGGUGGUCAGGUAGAGAAUACCAAGGCGCUUGAGAGAACUCGGGUGAAGGAACUAGGCAAAAUGGUGCCGUAACUUCGGGAGAAGGCACGCUGAUAUGUAGGUGAAGCGACUUGCUCGUGGAGCUGAAAUCAGUCGAAGAUACCAGCUGGCUGCAACUGUUUAUUAAAAACACAGCACUGUGCAAACACGAAAGUGGACGUAUACGGUGUGACGCCUGCCCGGUGCCGGAAGGUUAAUUGAUGGGGUUAGCGGUAACGCGAAGCUCUUGAUCGAAGCCCCGGUAAACGGCGGCCGUAACUAUAACGGUCCUAAGGUAGCGAAAUUCCUUGUCGGGUAAGUUCCGACCUGCACGAAUGGCGUAAUGAUGGCCAGGCUGUCUCCACCCGAGACUCAGUGAAAUUGAACUCGCUGUGAAGAUGCAGUGUACCCGCGGCAAGACGGAAAGACCCCGUGAACCUUUACUAUAGCUUGACACUGAACAUUGAGCCUUGAUGUGUAGGAUAGGUGGGAGGCUUUGAAGUGUGGACGCCAGUCUGCAUGGAGCCGACCUUGAAAUACCACCCUUUAAUGUUUGAUGUUCUAACGUUGGCCCGUAAUCCGGGUUGCGGACAGUGUCUGGUGGGUAGUUUGACUGGGGCGGUCUCCUCCUAAAGAGUAACGGAGGAGCACGAAGGUUGGCUAAUCCUGGUCGGACAUCAGGAGGUUAGUGCAAUGGCAUAAGCCAGCUUGACUGCGAGCGUGACGGCGCGAGCAGGUGCGAAAGCAGGUCAUAGUGAUCCGGUGGUUCUGAAUGGAAGGGCCAUCGCUCAACGGAUAAAAGGUACUCCGGGGAUAACAGGCUGAUACCGCCCAAGAGUUCAUAUCGACGGCGGUGUUUGGCACCUCGAUGUCGGCUCAUCACAUCCUGGGGCUGAAGUAGGUCCCAAGGGUAUGGCUGUUCGCCAUUUAAAGUGGUACGCGAGCUGGGUUUAGAACGUCGUGAGACAGUUCGGUCCCUAUCUGCCGUGGGCGCUGGAGAACUGAGGGGGGCUGCUCCUAGUACGAGAGGACCGGAGU
rnacentral:rRNA from 1 species